CUCUGCUUCUCUGAUGUUAGCGGCGGACGGGUGAGUAACACGUGGGUAACCUACCUAUAAGACUGGGAUAACUCCGGGAAACCGGGGCUAAUACCGGAUAAUAUUUUGAACCGCAUGGUUCAAUAGUGAAAGACGGUUUCGGCUGUCACUUAUAGAUGGACCCGCGCCGUAUUAGCUAGUUGGUAAGGUAACGGCUUACCAAGGCGACGAUACGUAGCCGACCUGAGAGGGUGAUCGGCCACACUGGAACUGAGACACGGUCCAGACUCCUACGGGAGGCAGCAGUAGGGAAUCUUCCGCAAUGGGCGAAAGCCUGACGGAGCAACGCCGCGUGAGUGAUGAAGGUCUUCGGAUCGUAAAACUCUGUUGUUAGGGAAGAACAAAUUUGUUAGUAACUGAACAAGUCUUGACGGUACCUAACCAGAAAGCCACGGCUAACUACGUGCCAGCAGCCGCGGUAAUACGUAGGUGGCAAGCGUUAUC
rnacentral:rRNA from 2 species